UUUUCGAAAUACGCUUUUCAAUGCAAUAUGGAAAUUUGUCAUCAUAACGUGCACAAAAUCGCUGUUUCGUAAUAAUAUAUACGCAAUUUUAACAAAUAUUUAAUGAUGUUUGGGGCUGUUUUCAUUCAACCGUAGCUAUAGUGUGUUUUCUUUUGACGUCAUAUAAGCCAUGUUGGGAGAGUACAUGAGAGUGUCGAAGCUCAGCAAAGCAUAAAAUUAGCAGAAAUUCUUUUCACUGUAUGGAAUUUUGCCCCAACAUGGUAACUGAUGAAAACAAUUUAGAGGAAGAAAUCAUUAAGGUGUAAAAUGAUUUUUCAUCAGCUGGCAAUCCAUUUGGGACUUUUCACAGUAUUUUUAAUUCACGAAAAUUUACAUAAAACGUACAAAAUGACAUACCUCGCAACAAGUAUAAAACAUGUGAAAAUUGAUCAUCAAAUUUACUGGCAUUUCCCCAGUAUAGUAGCGGCAUCUUCUUUCAUGUUUAGAGAUUAUUUUACACCUCAAUGUUUUCUACUCUCAUGUCCUUAGACCCAAAAAAAAAUUUACAUUUGUAAUGUAAUGUAUGAUAAACUUAAGAAUAAAUUUAAGAGAAAGGAACUUCUCAAACGACUUCAAGUAAUAUGUAAGUUUUAGCAAGUAAAAAUGUUCGUACAAUAAAUGAUAAAAAACAAUCUCCAAACAUUGUUUAAGAUUUUUAGACAUUAAGCUGGCUUGAAGACCACUGUUUUUUGCAAAAAAUUCGGCAAUUUCGCCUCCGUACCUUCAAUGGCGGCGCUCAUGCAGGCUUCAAAGAUGGCGUCCAAUUUAGCCUUCCAGUUGUUGUAGAGUUCACUGGGUUUAAAUAAGGUCGAGAUAGAUAGUUCACUAUACCACGACGAAAAAUUGCAUGUAAUUUACAAACUCUUGGCGUCACGUUCAUUUGCUAUAAUAAAAUUUACAAUAAAUA